rnacentral:rRNA from 1 species
UACGGGGGGAGCAAGCGUUGUUCGGAUUUACUGGGCGUAAAGGGCUCGUAGGCGGCCAACUAAGUCAGACGUGAAAUCCCCAGGCUUAACCUGGGAACUGCGUCUGAUACUGGAUGGCUUGAAUUCGGGAGAGGGAUGCAGAAUUCCAGGUGUAGCGGUGAAAUGCGUAGAUAUCUGGAGGAACACCGGUGGCGAAGGCGGCAUCCUGGACCGGUAUUGACGCUGAGGCGCGAAAGCUAGGGUAGCAAACGGG